CACGUAGGGGGCGAGCGUUGUCCGGAUUUAUUGGGCGUAAAGAGCUCGUAGGCGGCUUGUCGCGUCGACUGUGAAAUCCCGCGGCUCAACUGCGGGUCUGCAGUCGAUACGGGCAGGCUAGAGUUCGGUAGGGGAGACUGGAAUUCCUGGUGUAGCGGUGAAAUGCGCAGAUAUCAGGAGGAACACCGGUGGCGAAGGCGGGUCUCUGGGCCGAUACUGACGCUGAGGAGCGAAAGCGUGGGGAGCGAACAGG
rnacentral:rRNA from 1 species